rnacentral:rRNA from 1 species
CAGUCGCCACGGUAAUACGUAGGGCGCAAGCGUUAUCCGAAAUUAUUGGGCGUAAAGAGCUCGUAGGCGGUUUGUCGCGUCUGCCGUGAAAGUCCGGGGCUCAACCCCGGAUCUGCGGUGGGUACGGGCAGACUAGAGUGAUGUAGGGGAGACUGGAAUUCCUGGUGUAGCGGUGAAAUGCGCAGAUAUCAGGAGGAACACCGAUGGCGAGGGCAGGUCUCUGGGCAUUAACUGACGCUGAGGAGCGAAAGCAUGGGGAGCGAACAGGAUUAGAUACCCCUGUAGUCCCUGUCUCUUAUAC